UGAGGCCAAAUUUGACAGGACAAGUAUGACAAUAGCAAGAACUGCCAUCCCAGAAGCAUCAUCUACUUUUGCAUGAGGCUCCAUUAAGUCCCACAGAGCACUUGGAAUUCCAGUUUUGUUAAAGCCAUCAACAGUGAUAAACAUUCCACAAAAGAAAAUUAAAAGCGAAUAGGAGACCUUUUCAAGGCAUGGCCGAGCAUCC
rnacentral:misc_RNA from 1 species